CCAGAACAGAGAGUAGGGCCCUCCAUAACGCGUUCCUGAAAACAAACUCACCAGAAAAGCACAUGGAAAACUGUAUCAGGUUGCCAUUACCAAGUGACUAAACUACUAUUGAAAAUCUCUGUGAUUAGCUAGUGAUCUCACAUCCCACUUUAAGACUUUUAUGUAUCUCUUUUGAUCCCCCCAACAAUCCUGUGAGGUAAGUAAAUGUAACCUCUAUUUGGCUUUU